UACAUGAUUUUUAACCAGGUUUUCCGAAGGAAAAAAACUGGUUAUUAGAUUGAGGUAUGUCGGCGGGCGGGCGGGCGUGAACAAUUUCUUCUGUGCGCAACUCCUCCUACAUUUCUCAACGGAUUUUGACCAAACUUUCACAGAAGCUUUGUCAUCAAGUGCCCUGGCACAUAUUGUCGGGGUUUUGCGAUUAGAUAAUAUUUGACCUAAUUAUGGCCCUUUGUUUUUUCCUUAUAUAGAAUAUAUAGUGAACAAUUUCUUCUGUGCGCAACUCCUCCUACAUUUCUCAACGGAUUUUGACCAAACUUUCUCAGAAGCUUUGUCAUCAAGUGCCCUGACACAUAUUGUCAGGGUUUUGCAAUUGGUAUAUAUUGGACCUAAUUAUGGCCCUUUGUUUUUUUCAUUAUACAGAAAAUAUUAUAGUGAACAAUUUCUUCUGUGCGCAACUCCUCCUACAUUUCUCAACGGAUUUUGACCAAACUUUCUUAGAAGCUUUGUUAUCAAGUGCCUGGCACAUAUUGUCGGGGUUUUGUGAUUGGAUAAUAUUUUACCGAAUUAUGGCCCUUUGUGUAUUUUUUCCUUAUACAGAAUAUAAUAGUGAACAAUUUCUACAGUGCGCAACUUCUCC